rnacentral:rRNA from 1 species
UACGGAGGGGGCUAGCGUUGUUCGGAAUUACUGGGCGUAAAGCGCACGUAGGCGGCUUUGUAAGUUAGAGGUGAAAGCCCAGGGCUUAACCCUGGAAUUGCCUUUAAGACUGCAUCGCUAGAAUUGUGGAGAGGUAAGUGGAAUUCCGAGUGUAGAGGUGAAAUUCGUAGAUAUUCGGAAGAACACCAGUGGCGAAGGCGACUUACUGGACAGCAUAUUGACGCUGAGGUGCGAAAGCGUGGGGAGCAAACAGG